rnacentral:rRNA from 1 species
UACAGAGGGUGCAAGCGUUAAUCGGAAUUACUGGGCGUAAAGCACGCGUAGGUGGAUAAGUAAGUUGGAUGUGAAAGCCCCGGGCUCAACCUGGGAACGGCAUUCAAAACUGCUUUUCUAGAGUAUGGUAGAGGAGAGUGGAAUUUCCGGUGUAGCGGUGAAAUACGUAGAUAUCGGAAGGAACACCAGUGGCGAAGGCGACUCUCUGGACCAAUACUGACACUGAGGUGCGAAAGCGUGGGGAGCAAACAGG